GAGGGAUUCAAGAAGGACAUGGUAUUCAAGGCGAACCCGUUAGCCCUAAGCGUACCUGAACAGGCCUUCGAGUCCUGGCUCCGAGACUCCGGCUACCUCGAAAUCCUCGACCAGCGCACCUCCGACCUCCACCGCCUCUCUGCCGCCGACUGUACUAUCGAGCUCCGUAAUUCCUCCGCCGACUCCACCCCCACUUCCAUUAUAUGUAGCGGCUUCUUCGUAUCACUCUUCUCCCGUAUUUGUACCCUUCUCUCGCUCAUCACUUUCAACCCCUUCUCCAAGCUCGUCGCAGAGGAUUUCUCCGGUGACACGCCUUCUUGGACCCUCG
rnacentral:lncRNA from 1 species